rnacentral:rRNA from 1 species
GACGAACCGUGCGAACGUUGUUCGGAUUCACUGGGCUUAAAGGGCGCGUAGGCGGAUUCGCAAGUCCGGGGUGAAAUCUUUCGGCUCAACCGGAAAAGUGCCUUGGAUACUGCGAGUCUUGAGGGAGGUAGGGGCCGCGGGAACUUCCGGUGGAGCGGUGAAAUGCGUUGAUAUCGGAAGGAACGCCGGUGGCGAAAGCGCGCGGCUGGAUCUCCUCUGACGCUGAGGCGCGAAAGCUAGGGGAGCAAACGGGAUUAGAUACCCCGGUAGUCCUAGCCCUAAACGAUGGGCACUAGAUAGUGGACUUUCAUGGGUUCACUGUCGAAGCAAAAGUGCUAAGUGCCCCGCCUGGGGAGUAUGGUCGCAAGGCUGAA